rnacentral:misc_RNA from 1 species
ACCUUGAUUGAGAUAAAGCAGGCUUAUAAAAAGGUCGCCAGGAAGUACCACCCGGACGUGUCGCCCCCGGAUCGGGUUGAGGAGUAUACCCAGAGGUUUAUUCGGGUUCAGGAGGCUUACGAGACUCUCUCGGAUCCUAGAAGGAGAGCUCUUUAUGAUCGAGAUAUGGCUCGGGGUCUUCACCUCGCGUUCUCUGCUAGGAGACGACACCAAAACGAUGAGGAACUGGAAGUGAGAGGCGAGUGGAAGAACUGCUGGGAAGCUCAGCUAUCAGAGUUGAAGAGAAGAAGCAUGAACAAGGAUGC